GGUGACGAGUGGCGGACGGGUGAGUAAUGUCUGGGAAACUGCCCGGUGGAGGGGGAUAACUACUGGAAACGGUAGCUAAUACCGCAUAACGUCUUCGGACCAAAGUGGGGGAUCUUCGGACCUCACGCCACCGGAUGUGCCCAGAUGGGAUUAGCUAGUAGGUGGGGUAACGGCUCACCUAGGCGACGAUCCCUAGCUGGUCUGAGAGGAUGACCAGCCACACUGGAACUGAGACACGGUCCAGACUCCUACGGGAGGCAGCAGUGGGGAAUAUUGCACAAUGGGCGCAAGCCUGAUGCAGCCAUGCCGCGUGUAUGAAGAAGGCCUUCGGGUUGUAAAGUACUUUCAGCGGGGAGGAAGGCGGUGAGGUUAAUAACCUCGCCGAUUGACGUUACCCGCAGAAGAAGCACCGGCUAACUCCGUGCCAGCAGCCGCGGUAAUACGGAGGGUGCAAGCGUUAAUCGGAAUUACUGGGCGUAAAGCGCACGCAGGCGGUCUGUUAAGUCAGAUGUGAAAUCCCCGGGCUUAACCUGGGAACUGCAUUUGAAACUGGCAGGCUUGAGUCUCGUAGAGGGGGGUAGAAUUCCAGGUGUAGCGGUGAAAUGCGUAGAGAUCUGGAGGAAUACCGGUG
rnacentral:rRNA from 1 species